GGCCCCACUCCCACUCAAACCCCUAAAAUUAAGUUGUCCCUCUUUGUUCAUUUGAAAUGUUGGGAGCUAUGCGUAAGAAGGAAGUAGUUUAGACAUGGGGAGUUGGGAAAGACAGACAAAAAUGGCAGAAUGUUACACAAAGUUUAUUUAAUUUUUUAUUUUUCCUUUGUUUUUGUUUUUAAACAACACAGAUUUGGGCAUGCUAAAAAAUACAGAUAAAUAUUCAGGCCAGAAGCUCCAAAAUGCAUAAAUGUUGUGUUAGUGGCGAGAGUAAUUACUAUCCACAAAAGCAAGGUGCAACUGGUUUUAUUUUUAGGCAUCUUAGGCACCAGGCGGACAGCAGGGACGAGGCUUAUAUUGUAUUACCCAGGACGGCCCACGGAAAAAACAAAUUGGUUUUCUUGGGUUUAGAGUGAUCAUUGAGAUACAUUUUCUUUUCCCAACAAAUGUCUUUCCAUAUGAAGUUAAAUUCUAUUUAUGCCGGGCAGAACGUUGAUAUCUGAUACGCACUAAAGAUAUUGUGACAGUGAUUGGACAGUUAGUCACAACAGCUGGAGUUUAUUUACCGCCCUUCAAAAUACCCUCCUCUGUGCCUGUUAAUUAAAUAAUGUAAAAAGUAAAUCGGAUCAAUGACGGUAAAGAACAAGCAAAAAUUGCUUUUUUUCCCCUAACGUUUUUAGUUCACUGCAAUUCAAUGUUUAGGGAAUUAGCCCCAAUGUAUACAGUGCAAAGCAAUUAACAUAUCUGACAGCAGGGGGCGAUCUGUCAUUGUCAUUCAUGAUCCAGUGGGACAAUACACUAAACAGAGAAAUGACAAUUUAAUUGCACAGUUUAAGCUAAUGUAACUAGCAUUUGUGAUUCCCUUUGUCAGUUUUCUAUUGUGAAAUAAACCCCAAAGCAUUGACAAUUUAAUUGAACAAUUUGCAUGGUUAAACUGCCAAAAAAAAAUAAAAGUUAAAAUAAAAAUUCCUUAACUUGCGUGGCUCUUUCAACUAAGCUUUUGCCUCUCUCUUUUAUCAAAACUGCUGUUUAAUGCUGUUAGGCUUUUAAUCUGACACGUUUUGUGAUCUACAAAGCUAUUUUUUGUUAUAUAUGUAAGGAGUUUAAGUAGCAAUGUUUAAACCAGAUGAUGAUCCCAUCUAUCACUGCCACUGCUGUAUUCUGUAAUAGUAAUAAGUUAUCUGGGAUGUAGCACCUUUAGUAGAAUCUUCGUUUCAAUUUACUGUUACAAGUAACUAGCCUUUACAGCAAGCAUGUCAAACCCAAAGGGUAGCAAGGGCCUAAUAAACAAGGUUUAAAGGACCACAAUAGGCACCCAGACAACUUCAGCUCAAUGAAGUGGUCUGGGUGUCAGGUUCCUCUAGUUUUAACCCUGCCGCUGAAAACAUAGCGGUUUCAGAGAAACUGCUAUGUUUCACUAAGGGUUAAUCCAGCCUCUAGUGGCUGUCUCAGUGACAGCCGCUAGAGGCGCUUCCGCAAUUCUCACUGUGAAAAUAACAGUGAGACGAUGCUGGACAUCCAUUGAGUAAUGCUUUCCUAUGGGUGGUUUGAAUGCGCUUGCCGCGCAUUCGCAUUCGGAGCUGAGAGGCGGAUCGGGGCGGAGAGAUCCCGAGCGCCAAGGGAGAUCAGCUCUGGAGAAAAGUAAGUGACUGGAAGGGUUUUAACCCCUUCAGCCCAGCGGCACGGGGGCCCUGAGGGUGGGGGGGACCUAAUGACUCUAUAGUGCCAGGAAACGGGUUUGUUUUCCUGGCACUAUAAUGGUCCUUUAAGUUUAUGUGGGCCGCAAAAAAAAAAAAAAAUGUAAAUUUUCAUAAAAAGUAGGUUUAUUUUGAAAAGUACAGUAUUAAAAAAAUAAUAAUAACAGCGCCCCCCUCAUCUACUAAAUCCCAG